UGUCCCUCUCUUUACCUCUUUUCCAUCCAGUGUUUUCCUUUUCUCUCUCUCUCUUUUCUCCAAUCAAACAAAAAUCAGAAAUAUCAUUAUGUCUCCUGGCUUUGGUUUCCAAAACUCUAACCCCACUGAGAUUAAACUAAAUGCCCCCGAGUGAAACAUCAGGAGAACGAGGAAUAGUUAUUAAACAUGGCGUUUGUCUCAACAAUCAGUGGUUUAAUAAAGAGGAGUUUCUUUUUUUUCUUACACAGCAGGAAGUACUGAGGUAGAGCUUUGUUCUUUGGGUUCAGUGGCUCGUUGAUGUCGAGUUCCGAGUUCUGGUGGGCAGCUCUGAGUUUUUUCUGCUUUCCCAUCUUGGCUGCAGCAAUGCUGUCAGUACCCUACCCAUAACCCCCUUGGCAUGUACCAUGUUCAUGAAUGCGGACCCAGCCUCAAACUGCUGGUGACCUAUCCCACCCACGCUCCUUGCUGAGGCUUCUCUGGCCACUGGAACCUCUGGGAUCAGCAAUCAAGCCAAAGCUGAUGGGAACAGCUGAGUAAAUCCCACUCUUUACCCUUGAAGAGGCAGGGGCUCACUGUGAAGUUAUAUUCUACAUUGCUUCCCAGUGAGAUUAUGCCUCAGUUACCUACAAGGGAACUUGCCUGGUAACUAUCAUUUAUUGGCUUCUUGCCUUUCGCAAUGUCACUUCCCCAAUCCCAAUCCAUGUUGCCUGGGAACAUCUUCCAAACCAACUCCCGAUGCUCAAGGGCUUGUUUCAGAAUCGACUUUGCGGGGAGCUCAAACUAGAACAUGGCCUGAAUGAGGACAGCAACUGAAGCUCUCUCUUCCUGCUUCCCUGACCCGGGCUGAGGAGCUGAUCCUCUCCCCGCAAGCCGAGCCCUCUGCAGACUCCCCUGAUGGCCUAUUGGCCCAGACUGGGUCACGUGGGCUCUCCUGUCGGAGAGGGCCAAGAGCCCGCACCUGGCUCAAGGUGGGUGAGAGAUGCGGGCAGGGCUGGGCCUCGGCUGUGGCUUUACCCAAUGCAUCGGUUUGGAUGAAGCUCAGCAACAAGGGACGGGAAAUCCCAAACAAGAAUGUUGUUUAGACAAGAUAGAAAUGUAUUUCGCUCUCUCCCAUAAAAACGGAGAGGCGGUUGCUGCCUGUUGGUUAGUGGACCCGACUUCUUCGUUGCUCCACGAGGCACGGCUUCCAGUGUCCACACCAGCACGUGGUUUUCGGCGCAGCACGCCCUGUACUCUUGUCUGCAUUACUUCGUAUAAUCCUCUUAAUCUGGGAGUUCGAUCUGCAUCAGGCCACAGUGCCCUGAGAUUUCGUCCGGAUGAUCUUCAUUGGAUUUUGACUGCCCGGCACCCUGCAGUCCCGUCCAUCCCAGCCUCACAGCCUGUUUCAGACCUGAGCACUUCUCACCCGGUCUCCAGGUCUCUACGCCUCUUUCCUCAAGUCCAGCCCUCGCACGGACAAGCAAAAUCCUUUCCUGCUCAAAAGUUUUGUUGGCUUUCUCGAUUACAUGUAGAAUUAAAUACUGAUUAAAAGUGAAAUAAAAUAAUAACAAAUUGAGGGUUUUGUGUGAUACUCUGGUAAGAAUUAAAAAGGAAAGACGGGCCCAUUUGGGUAUUGAUACUGAGAAACAAUUCUCAUACACUGUUAGUGAAAUCAACCAUUUCUUCUGGGAAUAAAUCAAGGAAUAUGGAUCAGUGUUUUAAUGUGCAUGUCCUUUGCCUCAGCAGCUCCCCUUCUGGGAAUUUAACUUAAAAUAAUCUAAGUACAAGGGCACCUCGGUGGCUCAGUGGAUUAAGUGUCUGCCUUUUGCUCGGGUCAUCAAGUACCCGCAUCAGGCUCUCUGCUCAGCAGGGAGCCUGCUUCUCCCUCUCCCACUGCCUGCUGCUCUGCCUACUUGUGUGCUCUUUCUGUCAGAUAGAUAAAUAAAAUCUUUUAAAAAAUAAUAAUAAUCUAAAUACACAAAGAUGUAUACAUAGGAUACAAGGAUCGAAUGUAGCUUUAAAUGGUAAUGACGGAGGACUGGUUAUUUCUUUUCUUUUCUUUUCUUUUUUUUUUUAAGAUUUUAUUUGUUUAUUUGACAGAGAUCACAAGUAGGCAGAGAGAAGGGAGAAGCAGGCUCCCCGCUGAGAAAAGAGCCUGAUACAGGGCUCGAUUCCAGGACCCUGGGAUCAUGACCUGAGCCAAAGACAGAGGCUUUAACCCACUGAGCCACCCAAGCGCCCCUGGUUACUUCUUUAUGAUGUAUUAUACGACAAAGCACUAUGCACCCAUUAAAAUGAUUAUACAGAUUUAUAUUUAUUGACAUGGAAAAUAUCUAUUGUAUAAAACAAUGUGUGGCACAUGGUAGAUGUUCAAUAAAUGUUUAUUGAAUGAAUGAAUGUUUAUAGUAGGUAAAAAAAAAAGUUAUGAAAUGGCAUAUACAUGCUCCUAUUUUUUGUUUUUAAAAAUCCG
ensembl:lincRNA